CAGUGAUCCUCGCGUUCCCUCCUUUCUGGAUUAGCACUUGCACUCUUCCGAAAUAGAGAUUCCCACUCUCACUUCAUCACAAAGAAAAAGAACUUUUUAACCUCCAAUCCCAUGAAGAAUAGCUGAAAAUACUAUUCAUUGUUGAAGUUACUAUUCAUGCUGAAAUCACUGUUUAUAUGAACAGUGUUCCGAGAUGACACUGUUUAUAUGAACAGUGUUCCGUAAAAACACUGUUCAUAUGAAAUUUUCUUUGAGUUCACUGUUCUUCUUCUUCCUCCCGCAAUGCAUCCCAGCCGUCCAUCUUCCGUGAUCAACGUCCACAGCAUCCGAAGCUCUCCUCCUCCACGAUUCGCCCAGCCACGGCAUCCCACGCUGCAAUCAAACAUCUUCCAUCCGAUUGCAAGCCGUGCUCCCAGCGAUCCCGAGAGAUCACGCGUGAUCUCAGCAUCCAAUCUUCAACAUCCCAGCAAGGCGUGAUCUCAGACACCAUUUCCAGCUUCUUCCGGAGCCGAUCCAGCCUCCGCCGUGAUCCAGCCAACCGUUGGAGCUCCCAGAUUCACGCGUCCGUCUUCCUCUUCUGCUUCAUCAUCGGCAUCUUCCGAGUUCCAGCAUCCGCGUGCAAUCCUCCCAACGAUCCCGCGGUGUCCUCUCCGGAUUAGCGUCCGCAUCACGGCCGUCCUCUUCAUUCGAAAAGCGUCCCAGCUGGGAUGCGCAUCUCAGCUCUCUUCCGCAUCCUGCAACCCCCUCUCCGUGAUCGCUGCAUCUGCGCCUGAUCUUCACCCACAAUCAGCUCCCAGCGAUCACGCUUCCUCUCCACAUGCUCACUGGCUGAUGGGACCUAUAUAAGGAGAUCAUCAGCAGGGGACGAAGGAGGAGGGUGGUGGUCGGCUGGUUCAAGAAGGAAUGGGGGAGUCCUCGGUUGGGAUUGGGGCCAAGAAACAGGGGUGUGGUCGGCUGGUGCAAAAGAGAAGGGAAGGCUCUGUUUGUGAGAGAAGAGAGAAAGAAAAAGAAACAGAG
rnacentral:lncRNA from 1 species